UGGGGAAUUUUGGACAAUGGGCGAAAGCCUGAUCCAGCAAUGCCGCGUGUGUGAAGAAGGCCUUCGGGUUGUAAAGCACUUUUGUCCGGAAAGAAAUCCUUGGCUCUAAUACAGUCGGGGGAUGACGGUACCGGAAGAAUAAGCACCGGCUAACUACGUGCCAGCAGCCGCGGUAAUACGUAGGGUGCAAGCGUUAAUCGGAAUUACUGGGCGUAAAGCGUGCGCAGGCGGUUUGCUAAGACCGAUGUGAAAUCCCCGGGCUAACCUGGGAACUGCAUUGGUGACUGGCAGGCUAGAGUAUGGCAGAGGGGGGUAGAAUUCCACGUGUAGCAGUGAAAUGCGUAGAGAUGUGGAGGAAUACCGAUGGCGAAGGCAGCCCCCUGGGCAAUACUGACGCUCAUGCACGAAAGCGUGGGGAGCAAACAGGAUUAGAUACCCUGGUAGUCCACGCCCCUAAAACGAUGUCAACUAGUUGUUGGGGAAUUCAUUUCCUUAGUAACGUAGCUAACGCGUG
rnacentral:rRNA from 1 species